AUUGAACGCUGGCGGCAUGCCUUACACAUGCAAGUCGAACGGCAGCACGGGUGCUUGCACCUGUUGGCGAGUGGCGAACGGGUGAGUAAUACAUCGGAAAUUGUCCUGUAGUGGGGGAAAGCCCGGCGGAAGCCGGAUCAAUACCGCAAACGAUCUACGGAUGAAAGCGGGGGACCUACGGGCUUUCGGCGAGAGGUGUGGCCGCUACCUGAUUAGCUGUUGGGGGGGGAAAAGGCCUACCAAGGGGACGAGCAGUAGCUGGUCUGGGAGGACGACCAGCCACCUUGGGACUGGUACACGGCCCUGGCUCCUGCGGGAGGCAGCAGUGUGGAAUUUUAGACAAUAGGCGAGAGCCUUGUCCAGCAAUGCCGCGUGUGUGAAGGAGGCCUGCGGGUUGUAAAGCACUUUUGUCCGUAGAGAACUCCUUGGCUCUAAUACAGUCGGGGAAUGACGGUACCGGAAGAAUAAGCACCGGCUAACUACGUG
rnacentral:rRNA from 1 species